UGAGAGAAAGUAUGUGUGAAAUCAGUUUAAGUAUUGUGUCCAGCUCUAGGGCCCCCAAGAUAAGGACUUGUACCUAUCAAAGGGAGUCCAGGGGAGGGCCACAAAGGUGAUCAGGGGGCUGGAGCACCUCUCCUGUGCAGACAGGCUGAGAGAGCUGGGCUUGUUCGGCCUGGAGAAGAGAAGGCUCUGGGGAGACUUUAGAGCCGCUUCCAGUAGCCAAAGAGGGCCUACAGGAAAGCUGGAGAAGCCCUUUUUACAAGGGCAAGUAGUGAUAGAACAAGGGGGAAUGGCUUUAAGCUGAAAUAGGGGGGUUGAAACUAGGCAAUCUUUAAUGUCCUUUCCAAAACAAACCGUUCCAUGAUUCUAUGAAAAUAAAAUCAUCUUUCCUUCUGUGUGGUUUUGCAUUGAACUUUGCUAUGUUAGGCAAACAUAAGGAAACAAAACACUCAGGACAACACUGAUCUAAUAGACAGGUGCAGAGUUUUUUGUACCCUUCAUUCUGAAACUUGUUCCCUCAUUAUAUACAAAGGAGACUGAUUUAUUAAUCUUGGAGGGUGAGGGGUACCUAAUAAUCUGGGCAUGAUUUUCUUCAAGACAGGGAGCAGAUGAGAUGAAAAGGUGCAACAAGUAAAGGAGCAGAGUUUCAAGAAACAGUUCAUCUUCUGUUGCUUCCAUUUGCAGCUUAUUAUAUUGUUUUUAUUCUCAUGUGUAAUACAGUAGAGAUCUGUAGAAACAGCUAGGAGCCUAAGCUGCAGAAAUGCCAUAGCCCCAGAAAAUUACACAGAUCUUCAAAUGAGGCUCUCAGCACUGUUUGGGAAAUAAAUCCAAAUAUUUCUCUAAGUGUUUGAAGAGAAGAUGCUUUGGCUCCAGAGCAAUACGAGAAAAUGUACAAUCCAAUUGAUCUGCUUCAGAUGCCACAACCAUCUGCAACUGCAUGUGGCAUACACAUAUUUCUCAGCUUUGCAGACAUGUAUAAUUAUGAAAAGCCUUGAAUACUUUCAGUAAAAUAGAUAAACCUUUGAUGUGUUCUUUUGGUUGUUUACUUAUGUCUCAGCAGCACUCUGUGGAAAGAUCUCCUCCUGGAAAGCUCAGGGCGGGGGGCUCUGCGAAGGCACUGUACAGAAGCGCCUGAGAAGCAGCCAAUAUGAACAACAACGGCUGGCACCAGCGGGGGUCACAGGUGCUUGUCUGAACACAGUAUUGUGCAACAUCUCCAGGCAGUGUAGGCGACCGCCGCGGCUGUACCAGAGACACGACCGCCAUCUGCUGCCACAAACCCAGCCCGACCCAUGUAGAAAGAGCAAACUCCUGUUACCGGUCGUAUGAGCUGGCGUGCGGAUGGGCAGCUGACCGCAACACUGCACUACAUCCUCUGGGGAUGCCACACACCAUGUGCGAUGGGGAUGGAGAGGCACACAUAGUCAAAGUAACUAUACAGCCAGCACACACGCAUAUACCUGCAUAUGCACAUGUCUGUGCUCACUGCAGCUCAAUAGUGCUAACAAUUGCUUUCUAUGCACCUGAAAUACACAGAGUUUAUAUUCCAUGCAAACACUUGGUCCCUUAGUUGGAAGCUUGGAUGGAAUGCAGACAGGGGUUUUGGUUGUGGGUAUUUUCUAUGGAAGAGAGCUUGCCAGCACUGAAUGAUUGAUCUGUUGGAAUCAGCUCACUAAACUGGGGCAGUCGGCUCUCAGUCCAAGUUUUCUUAUCUGGAUGCUCUCCCCAAAGGCUGUUUCCCCUGUGAUCUAAAUCCACCUAAUCACUAAGGAAAACCCUUAUUGCUUUGCAGACUGUCUUACAUACGUUGUUUGCUUUCCUAUUAACUCUAUAAUAUCUGAGCGCUGUGCCCGCUGUUCAAUAUUUAAAUACUGUUUUUUCCUCAUUUACUAUGAUGGUGAUUUUUUUCAUUGCCUUAUUUUUAGUAACUUUGGAAGGAAGUUUAUUCUUAUAAAAUAAUCCUUUCUUUGCCUCAUAUUUUCAGAAUUCUUAUGAACAUAUUGCUUGCUUAAAUAG